UUGUUAGAUGAAGACAAAACUAUCUCUUAUGUGCUUAUGGGUCUUAGUUCAGACUAUGAACCCUUGGUCACGUCUCUCAUCACAAGAUCCGAGGAGCUCACCCUUGACGAUGUCUAUGCUCAUCUACUAAUCUUUGAGC